GGGCGUUUGGUCUAGUGGUAUGAUUUCUGUAUUGCAAUGACUUGCUGUUCUCUGCAUUCUUACAGACGGCCCCGUGUUUAAUCCACGGAACAUGCA